rnacentral:rRNA from 1 species
AGAGUUUGAUCCUGGCUCAGACAAACGCUGUCGGCGUGCCUAAUACAUGCAAGUCGAACGAGGAAGUCCCGAAGGGAUUGUACUAGUGGCGCACGGGUGAGUAACGCGUGAGUAAUCUUCCUUAGAGUGGGGGAUAACCAGUCGAAAGAUUGGCUAAUACCGCAUAAGACCACAAGAUCUGCGGAUCAAGGGGUAAAAGGUUUUUCGCUCUAAGAUGAGCUCGCGUGAGAUUAGCUAGUUGGUGAGGUAACGGCUCACCAAGGCGACGAUCUCUAACUGGUCUGAGAGGAUGAUCAGUCACACUGGAACUGAGACACGGUCCAGACUCCUACGGGAGGCAGCAGUAGGGAAUAUUGCACAAUGGAGGAAACUCCGAUGCAGGGACGCCGCGUGAGUGAUGAAGGACUUCGGUUCGUAAAGCUCUGUCGUAUGGGAAUAUAAAGUGAAGGUACCAUGCAAGAAAGGAUCGGCUAACUUCGUGCCAGCAGCCGCGGUAAGACGAGGGAUCCUAGCGUUGUUCGGAAUCAUUGGGCGUAAAGCGGAUGUAGGUGGCUUUGUAAGUCAGGUGUGAAAGCCCCGGGCUCAACCCCGGGAAGUGCAUUUGAUACUGCGAAGCUUGAGUGCUAGAGAGGUUACUAGAAUACCUGGUGUAGUGGUGAAAUACGUAGAUAUCAAAGUGGAAUACCGGAGGCGAAGGCGGGUAACCAGCUAGACACUGACMCCUGAGAUCCGAAAGUGUGGGGAUCAAACAGGAUUAGAUACCCUGGUAGUCCACACCGUAUACGAUGGAUACUUGUUGUUGGAGGUAUUGACCCCUUCAGUGACGCAGUCAUCACGGUAAUAUCCCGCCUGGGGAGUUCUGGCGCAAGAUUAAAACUCAAAGAAAUUGACGG